rnacentral:sRNA from 1 species
CUUAAGGGCCAGGGAAACUCGAUCCCAAG